UGGGGAAUAUUGCACAAUGGACGGAAGUUUGAUGCAGCGACGCCGCGUGGAGGGUGUAGGCCUUCGGGUUGUGAACUCCUUUUUCUCGCGAAAAAGGCACAGUUUUGGCUGUGUUGAUGGUAGUGGGGGAAGAAGCGCCGGCUAACUACGUGCCAGCAGCCGCGGUAAUACGUAGGGCGCGAGCGUUGUCCGGAUUUAUUGGGCGUAAAGAGCUCGUAGGUGGUUCGUCGCGUCUGUCGUGAAAGCCAGCAGCUUAACGGUUGGUCUGCGGUGGGUACGGGCGGGCUUGAGUGCGGUAGGGGUGACUGGAAUUCCUGGUGUAGCGGUGGAAUGCGCAGAUAUCAGGAGGAACACCGAUGGCGAAGGCAGGUCACUGGGCCGUUACUGACACUGAGGAGCGAAAGCGUGGGGAGCGAACAGG
rnacentral:rRNA from 1 species